rnacentral:snRNA from 1 species
GUGCUCACUUCAGCAGCACAUGUACUAAAAUUGGAACGAUACAGAUAAGAUUAGCAUGGCCCCUGCACAAGGAUGACAUGCAAAUUCAUGAAGUGUUCCAUAUUUUU